rnacentral:rRNA from 1 species
AGUGAACGCUGGCGGUAGGCCUAACACAUGCAAGUCGAACGGCAGCACAGUAAGAGCUUGCUCUUACGGGUGGCGAGUGGCGGACGGGUGAGGAAUACAUCGGAAUCUACUUUUUCGUGGGGGAUAACGUAGGGAAACUUACGCUAAUACCGCAUACGACCUACGGGUGAAAGCAGGGGAUCUUCGGACCUUGCGCGAUUGAAUGAGCCGAUGUCGGAUUAGCUAGUUGGCGGGGUAAGGGCCCACCAAGGCGACGAUCCGUAGCUGGUCUGAGAGGAUGAUCAGCCACACUGGAACUGAGACACGGUCCAGACUCCUACGGGAGGCAGAAGUGGGGAAUAUUGGACAAUGGGCGCAAGCCUGAUCCAGCCAUACCGCGUGGGUGAAGAAGGCCUUCGGGUUGUAAAGCCCUUUUGUUGGGAAAGAAAAGCAGCAGGUUAAUACCCCGCUGUUCUGACGGUACCCAAAGAAUAAGCACCGGCUAACUUCGUG